rnacentral:rRNA from 1 species
GACGAACGCUGGCGGCGUGCCUAACACAUGCAAGUCGAGCGGAGCUAGUAGCAAUAUUAGCUUAGCGGCGGACGGGUGAGUAACGCGUGGGCAACCUGCCUUCUACAGGGGGAUAACACAGGGAAACUUGUGCUAAUACCGCAUAACAUACUUAAGGGACAUCCCUUGGGUAUCAAAGGAGCAAUCCGGUAGAAGAUGGGCCCGCGUCCGAUUAGCUAGUUGGAGGUGUAACGGACCACCAAGGCGACGAUCGGUAGCCGAACUGAGAGGUUGAUCGGCCACAUUGGGACUGAGACACGGCCCAGACUCCUACGGGAGGCAGCAGUGGGGAAUAUUGCGCAAUGGGGGAAACCCUGACGCAGCAACGCCGCGUGAAGGAUGAAGGUCUUCGGAUUGUAAACUUCUUUAGUCGGGGACGAAGAAAUGACGGUACCCGAAGAAUAAGCCACGGCUAACUACGUGCCAGCCGCCGCCGUAACAC